rnacentral:rRNA from 1 species
UCGCUGGAAGAGGGGGUCGCGGCUGAUUAGCUAGUUGGCGGGGUAAUGGCCCACCAAGGCAGAGAUCGGUAGCCGGCCUGAGAGGGCGCACGGCCACACUGGAACUGAAACACGGUCCAG